CGGAGAGGUUUCCAUGGAAUAGACUUUGGGGUUUUAAUCGAAUUUUGGCUCAAUAGGAUGCGGCUCCGAUCAGCUAACGGGAUUUUAGAAGGCAAUAAUGGAGAUCUCACUGAUGGGCCUGAGUACCACCACCACCACCAUCAUCCUUUCUCUCCCUUGAAGCCCUCUGCAGAACAAGACACUUCUCAAAGCUUCUCUCUGUUUCUUCUGCAUCUCAGAGGAUGGAUCCCUGCCAGUGGAAGUCUGAAGCCAGCCCUUCUGCCUUGCUUGUGAGCUGACCUUGGCUUCCCAGACAAACCACUGCUAGGAUGUUUUAUCUGAGGCAAGUACAGUCCUGAACAAAAGCAAACUCAUUCCUGGGAUUUAAGGAGAGAACCUGAGAAAUCUCCUUAACAGGAACCUCUACCCUACUUCCACUAUGUCUGAAAAAAAUCGCAUCAUAAGAGCCUCCCGGCUGACUAUCUACAAAUCCCCCUCCUCUUUAAAAACUGUAAAAUUCAUGUAACACAAAGUUAGCUGUUUU
ensembl:lncRNA